GGUUAAGCGACUAAGCGUACACGGUGGAUGCCCUGGCAGUCAGAGGCGAUGAAGGACGUGCUAAUCUGCGAUAAGCGUCGGUAAGGUGAUAUGAACCGUUAUAACCGGCGAUUUCCGAAUGGGGAAACCCAGUGUGAUUCGUCACACUAUCAUUAACUGAAUCCAUAGGUUAAUGAGGCGAACCGGGGGAACUGAAACAUCUAAGUACCCCGAGGAAAAGAAAUCAACCGAGAUUCCCCCAGUAGCGGCGAGCGAACGGGGAGCAGCCCAGAGCCUGAAUCAGUGUGUGUGUUAGUGGAAGCGUCUGGAAAGGCGCGCGAUACAGGGUGACAGCCCCGUACACAAAAAUGCACAUACUGUGAGCUCGAUGAGUAGGGCGGGACACGUGGUAUCCUGUCUGAAUAUGGGGGGACCAUCCUCCAAGGCUAAAUACUCCUGACUGACCGAUAGUGAACCAGUACCGUGAGGGAAAGGCGAAAAGAACCCCGGCGAGGGGAGUGAAAAAGAACCUGAAACCGUGUACGUACAAGCAGUGGGAGCCUCUUUAUGGGGUGACUGCGUACCUUUUGUAUAAUGGGUCAGCGACUUAUAUUCUGUAGCAAGGUUAACCGAAUAGGGGAGCCGAAGGGAAACCGAGUCUUAACUGGGCGUUAAGUUGCAGGGUAUAGACCCGAAACCCGGUGAUCUAGCCAUGGGCAGGUUGAAGGUUGGGUAACACUAACUGGAGGACCGAACCGACUAAUGUUGAAAAAUUAGCGGAUGACUUGUGGCUGGGGGUGAAAGGCCAAUCAAACCGGGAGAUAGCUGGUUCUCCCCGAAAGCUAUUUAGGUAGCGCCUCGUGAAUUCAUCUCCGGGGGUAGAGCACUGUUUCGGCAAGGGGGUCAUCCCGACUUACCAACCCGAUGCAAACUGCGAAUACCGGAGAAUGUUAUCACGGGAGACACACGGCGGGUGCUAACGUCCGUCGUGAAGAGGGAAACAACCCAGACCGCCAGCUAAGGUCCCAAAGUCAUGGUUAAGUGGGAAACGAUGUGGGAAGGCCCAGACAGCCAGGAUGUUGGCUUAGAAGCAGCCAUCAUUUAAAGAAAGCGUAAUAGCUCACUGGUCGAGUCGGCCUGCGCGGAAGAUGUAACGGGGCUAAACCAUGCACCGAAGCUGCGGCAGCGACGCUUAUGCGUUGUUGGGUAGGGGAGCGUUC
rnacentral:rRNA from 1 species